rnacentral:misc_RNA from 1 species
GCCAGCAGCUCCUCUUCCUCCGCCUCCGCAGCCUUCAAAUUGCUCAUCACGACAUCAUAAGCUUCAUUAAUCUUUUGAAACUGAACCCCGCAAUCCCUGCCCUUGCAGACAUCGGGGUGAUACUGCAGCGCUAGCUGCCGGAACGCCUUCUUCACCUCCAUCUCGGAGGCGCCGGGCUCGAUCUUGAGUGUUCUGUACUGAUCGGUGAGGCCGCCGCCGGCAGCGCAGCGAACACGGCCGGCGGAGCGGCGGCCCCUUCCUUUGACGGAGCUGCUCCGUCCACAAGCCGCCGUCCAAGAAGAGGACGGACCACCAGAACUCAUUAUCCCCAUAGAGAUCGCCAUUGGUAAAUCAAACCCUAGGAGAGAGAAAAAGGUUCUUUCAAAAGAGAAAGAUAUUGGAAAGAGAAUGAUUACG